GACGAACGCUGGCGGCGUGCCUAAUACAUGCAAGUUGAGCGCUGAAGGUUGGUACUUGUACCGACUGGAUGAGCAGCGAACGGGUGAGUAACGCGUGGGGAAUCUGCCUUUGAGCGGGGGACAACAUUUGGAAACGAAUGCUAAUACCGCAUAAAAACUUUAAACACAAGUUUUAAGUUUGAAAGAUGCAAUUGCAUCACUCAAAGAUGAUCCCGCGUUGUAUUAGCUAGUUGGUGAGGUAAAGGCUCACCAAGGCGAUGAUACAUAGCCGACCUGAGAGGGUGAUCGGCCACAUUGGGACUGGGACACGGCCCAAACUCCUACGGGAGGCAGCAGUAGGGAAUCUUCGGCAAUGGACGGAAGUCUGACCGAGCAACGCCGCGUGAGUGAAGAAGGUUUUCGGAUCGUAAAACUCUGUUGGUAGAGAAGAACGUUGGUGAGAGUGGAAAGCUCAUCAAGUGACGGUAACUACCCAGAAAGGGACGGCUAACUACGUG
rnacentral:rRNA from 1 species